rnacentral:rRNA from 1 species
UGAACUCUCUGGGGUUAAGCCUUGCUGAAUUAUUCACCCUUGUCUUUUGCGUACUUCUUGUUUCCUUGGUGGGUUCGCCCACCACUAGGACAAACAUAAACCUUUUGUAAUUGCAAUCAGCGUCAGUAACAAAUUAAUAAUUACAACUUUCAACAACGGAUCUCUUGGUUCUGGCAUCGAUGAAGAACGCAGCGAAAUGCGAUAAGUAGUGUGAAUUGCAGAAUUCAGUGAAUCAUCGAAUCUUUGAACGCACAUUGCGCCCUUUGGUAUUCCAAAGGGCAUGCCUGUUCGAGCGUCAUUUGUACCCUCAAGCUUUGCUUGGUGUUGGGCGUCUUGUCUCUAGCUUUGCUGGAGACUCGCCUUAAAGUAAUUGGCAGCCGGCCUACUGGUUUCGGAGCGCAGCACAAGUCGCACUCUCUAUCAGCAAAGGUCUAGCAUCCAUUAAGCCUUUUUUCAACUUUUGACCUCGGAUCAGGUAGGGAUACCCGCUGAACUUA